UUGCGUGUUCUUUGUGUGUUCUUUGUGUGUUCUGUGUGUGUUCUUUGCAUGUUCUGUGGUUCCAGUCGGACGUUCAGCCCGGGGACUGUUGGCCGUUCCGUGGUUCUUCUGGGAUCCUGGUUCUGCGUCUGUCGUCUCGGGUUUUGCCCUCAGCGUUUUCCUUAGAACAUCUCCCCAAGAACCUGUCCCCAACCGGAUCCAUCCACAGCGCCCCCAAGGACUUCACCGUCUACGGCCUGAAGGAUGAGGAUGAUGAUGAGGAGGAAGAGGGGAAACUUCUGGGCACGUUUCAGUACGACAAGGACGGAGAAGCUCUACAGACCUACACCCCCACUGAGGAAAAUGCUGAACCGUUUCAGUUUAUUCUGGUGAAGUUUUUGUCAAACUGGGGUCACGACGAGUACACCUGCAUUUACCGCUUCAGAGUCCACGGCACCCCGGUCCAGACGGAACCGGAGACGGAACCGGAGACGGAACCGGAGACGGAACCGGAGACGGAACCGGAGACGGAACCGGAGACGGAACCUGAAACCAAACUAGAAACUGAACCAGAAGCAGAAUCAGAAGAGACUGCUGAGUCCCAGGAGCAAGAUUCAGACUAGAAUAUGGACUGGACCAUGGACUGGACCGUGGGCCGGACCGUGGGCCAAACCCGGACAGGACUGGCCCCGGACUGUGAUGAUGGCAGCUUUUGUUUAGUUUGUCAGGACGAGUUUGUCUCAGGACACACGUGUAAGUGGAACUUGGAGCUUGUGCUGCUGAGACACGUUUAAACUCUGAGUCCUUUUAGUUUUUCUAAAGUGUAAA